GUGUUUCGUCUCCAGAGGCAACCGCCGCGACCCCAGCGAAGUCCGCGGCCCAGCCUUGAGCCCCCUCCCCCGGGGGCUGGCAUGAGCUGCCCCUCGGGGGCGCCGGGGGGCGGGGGAGUCGCCACCGCCUGAGCCCGGCCUGCCGGUCGACCCCACCUCGCCUACCGAGGCUGACUGCUGAGCUGCGAACGACCCCACCACUGCUUGCUUCCUACCCCAGAUCAUACGCUCCAACCCCAGAAGAUGGAGAACUGCCUCAAAUCCCCCACCUCGGAUGACAUCUCCUUACUUCACGAGUCUCAGUCCGACCGGGCUAGCUUUGGCGAGGGAACGGAGCCGGAUCAGGAGCCGCCGCCGCCAUAUCAGGAACAAGUUCCAGUUCCGGUCUACCAUCCAACACCUAGCCAGACUCGGCUAGCAACCCAACUGACUGAAGAGGAACAAAUUAGGAUAGCUCAAAGAAUAGGCCUUAUUCAGCACCUGCCUAAAGGAGUUUAUGACCCUGGAAGAGAUGGAUCAGAGAAAAAGAUCCGAGAGUGUGUGAUCUGUAUGAUGGACUUUGUUUAUGGGGACCCAAUUCGAUUUCUGCCGUGCAUGCACAUCUAUCACCUGGACUGUAUAGAUGACUGGUUGAUGAGAUCCUUCACGUGCCCCUCCUGCAUGGAGCCAGUUGAUGCAGCACUGCUUUCAUCCUAUGAGACUAAUUGAGCCAGGGUCUCUCGUCUGACUUCAAGUGAACCAUCAUUUUGGGGUGGUUUUGAUCUUUUGUCAUUGAGCCCAAAGAGCCAGGGAUUAGGAAUUAAGAUCAUGCACAAAAGUUUCCUAAAAAUUCCUGGAUGGCUGCAGAUGUUGGGGGAAAGUAUGUGAUAUUUUAGAAACUUAGUGGGAAAAGUAGGAUGGUAUUUUUAUGUAAAGCCUUGACCCAGUGUUUAAAAAUAUAAUUGUAUUUAGAUCUUAUUGCUCCAGUACAUAGGAAUUGUGUAAAGUGUUACAGCAGCUGUAUAUGUUUAAAUUGUGUGUGUUGAAGAUUAGGAAAAGAUAGUGGUUAUUUUUCCUAAAUGAAAUAACUUUUUUCUUUGCCCUACCACCCAAAUUCUUUUCUCAAGUUGCUGACAUUUGGGUCAAGGUUUUAUUUAAAGCUACAUUUUAUAACACUGGCACAAAAAAAGUAGUUUUAAGCUUGUUUGCACAGUUCUUUUUUUCCAUUGGAAAUGGAAUUCAUUGCCUUAGGUCUUUUUAAAUAGUGUAUUAUUAUCAUUGGGGCUGGCUCUAUGCUUGAAAACCAGUUUAUUUAUAACCUGUUAUAAGUGCUAUAUUCCGUUUGCAGUUAGGAAAUGCAGAAUUCAAAGUGAUCUCCUAGCUUGUAAGCAAACCGAGAUGCACUAUCCCUUUUCUAUAAAAAAUGAGUUAAUGUGUCAAGAAACCAACUCUAGUAAAGUGGGGUUUAACAUUACUCUUUCCUAUGUGUUUUAUCUAAUUAUUUUGGUUGUUAAUAUGGUGAUAAUUGAAAGUCAAGGUAAAUUUUAAAUAUUAAGAAUUUUGAUUUAUUGAGCUUGAAUUAUGCCACCAUGUUUAUGUACAAAAUGAAGGUGGCACCAUGGUGAAACUUAAAGAGAAGUAGCUUCUCAGUUGUAACAAUUUUGAUUUUUUUCUCUUUCCUUUGACCUCCUUCCCUCUUAUCUUGAACCAUAGCAAAAGGAUACUGCAUCUCUCAUUACUGUAGUGCUAAGGUUAUUGAAGUUAUAUAAAACACAUCUCAGUCUCUGUUUCUUUGAAAGGUAUCUAUUAAGUCCUGCUAGCUUACUGAUAAGACUAAGCAGUGAGAAUAAAGAUAAAUGUGUUU